rnacentral:lncRNA from 10 species
GCUGAAGCCACUCAGGGUCUCCUAUGACGUGGCAUCCUGCCUGUACAUCUGGAACACUGGCUACCUCUUCCAGGUGGAAUUUGACGAUGCCACCAAGGCAUCAGUUCUAGAGGUCAGGAGUCCAAAAUGGUUUUCACCAGGCUGAAGUCUUGUCAGUGCGGCUUUGUUUCUCCACGGAGGCUCUGGGGCAGAAUCCAAUGCCUUUUCCAGCUCCUCCAGGGGCCACCUCAUCGCCUGGCCCCAGGCCUUCUUGCCAUCUUCACAGCCAGAAGCUUCCUUGCUUCAUGCGCAGACCCUCGUGACUCCCCUUCCCUUAUAAGGGCCCCCAUGAUUACUCAGGGCCCACCUCAACCAUCCACGGUCAUCUCCCCACCACGAAAUCCUGAACUGAAGCACAGGCGCCGGGUCCCUUUUGCCACGCAAGGUAACACUUUCCCACGUCCUGGGGUUCCAAACCUGGACAUCUCUGGGGGCUGUUAUUCCACCCACCGUCAUCAGUGAGGCGCCUUCAGGAGGGGCUGUGAGGUCACGUGAGGUCGGCUUCAGAAGGGCUAGGUUUGAGUGCCUGGAGGACACUGGCAGGAGGCGCCCCUGGGCUCCAUCCAUUUACCACGCACGCACUCAGCACCCCUGAGACCAUCCCUGGGGCCUACAGGAGAACCCUGUACCUCAGCAGCCCUGAAACCUGCUUUCCACUUCCGGACCUUUCUGAAAUCAAGACGCAUCUUUAGAUCAAUGGCAUCUUACUGUGUCACCGGCAGGCCUCUUCUUUCUUAGUGACGUUUAAAGGAAGGUAUCUUACCCCUGAUGGCUUCUUGGAGUGAAUGAAAUUCCGGUGUGAGCAGGCACUAGAAGGGGCCUCACAAGAGUGUCAGGUGACCCCACUCCGCCCUGGCCCCCAAGUCUUUCCUAGUUGCUCAUCUGGCCCUUUCUGACCUGGGAUCCCAAGUGUCCUGCAGCUCCAGUGCCCAGACCCCCAUAACUAACAGACCCCACUAAAGCCACACACAUGCUCAGCUCUCCAACCACGGUGGGGUCCAGGAGCCACCCCUCCCGCUAGGUGUGCCUAAACCAUGGGGAUCUGACUCAGGGGCUCUCUCUCGGCCUGGCUGCAAGCUGAAAACACCUGGGGGCUUCCAAAAUGCCCAAUGCCUGGGCCACAACCUAGACCAGCUCAAUCUGAAUCUCCAAAGAGAUAUUACAGCUCCCCAGGAGACUCCAAGGGGCAGCCAGAGUGCAAAACCGGAAGAAACCAUCUAACGUGGGGCAAGGGAGGCGUAAGGCAAUGCUGGUGGGGCGUGGAGGUGGAGGGUGCCAGGCCCAGGCUAUAGAAUUACAUCUGUCUAUUUCCCAUGCCCCUGCCACCAGACUCUGAAUUCCUGGAAGGGGACCAACCCAGCUACCUCAGUUUCCUCAAGGCACUAGCCCUGUGCCAGGCACAUAGUGGGGUCCAGAGAAUGUAGGCCGCAGGGCCUCCAAGGCCAGGCAGCAAAGGCUUUGUGCCAAGAAAGGUCUGGGAAAGGAGCCCACUGGGUCUGGGCCAGCCCUUUGAUUCCUGUGAUCUCCAGUGAGUCACUGCCCCUCUCUGUGCCAGUACAAUGCACACUUGGCCCACACUUGGCCACUGAGUUUGCACUUCACUGAAGGGCUGUGGGAACGACGGCAAGGAUAGAGGAAAGCCAGAUUAGGGAAGACACUGGCUCUCAGAACCUUAGGGAUCUCGGUCUUGGGCCACUCAUCCCACUUCUGCCCAGCAUCUAAGGAGCUUGAGAGGGUGAAGCGAGAGUAAGAGGGUUCCAUGCUCACCCCCAACAGGGUCCCAAUGUCUUCUCGAUGCCCUGGUCCUUCUGGGCCUAAAACAUCCACUUCUGGGGCUCUGUCCUCUGGUGGCUACAAGGAUAAAGAA